UACGAAGGGGGCUAGCGUUGCUCGGAAUCACUGGGCGUAAAGCGCACGUAGGCGGGUUCUUAAGUCAGGGGUGAAAUCCUGGAGCUCAACUCCAGAACUGCCUUUGAUACUGGGAAUCUCGAGUCCGGGAGAGGUGAGUGGAACUGCGAGUGUAGAGGUGAAAUUCGUAGAUAUUCGCAAGAACACCAGUGGCGAAGGCGGCUCACUGGCCCGGUACUGACGCUGAGGUGCGAAAGCGUGGGAAGCAAACAGG
rnacentral:rRNA from 1 species